CGUGAGAUGUUGGGUUAAGUCCCGCAACGAGCGCAACCCCUAUCCUUUGUUGCCAGCACGUAAUGGUGGGAACUCAAAGGAGACUGCCGCGGACAACGCGGAGGAAGGCGGGGAUGACGUCAAGUCAUCAUGCCCCUUAUGUCCUGGGCUACACACGUACUACAAUGGGAUGGACAGAGAGCAGCGAAGCCGCGAGGCCAAGCGAACCCCAUAAACCAUCUCCCAGUUCGGAUGCAGGCUGCAACCCGCCUGCA
rnacentral:rRNA from 1 species